rnacentral:rRNA from 1 species
UACAGAGGUCUCAAGCGUUGUUCGGAUUCACUGGGCGUAAAGGGUGCGUAGGCGGUUGGGUAAGUCUGACGUGAAAUCUCCGAGCCUAACUCGGAAACUGCGUCGGAUACUAUUCAACUCGAGGAAUGGAGGGGAGACUGGAAUUCUCGGUGUAGCAGUGAAAUGCGUAGAUAUCGAGAGGAACACCAGUGGCGAAGGCGAGUCUCUGGACAUUUCCUGACGCUGAGGCACGAAAGCCAGGGGAGCAAACGGG